rnacentral:rRNA from 1 species
GGUGGCGGUUAUACUGGAGUUGUUCCACCUGUUCCCAUUCCGAACACAGAAGUGAAAUACUCUAAGGCCCAUGAUAGUGGUAUUCCCGCGAAAGUAGGUAGCCGCCACCA